UAUUAAAAAUUUUAUCUAUUUUCACUGUUAAAAGUUAGAAUGAUUGACGAAAUAUUCAGACAGUUACACGUGAUGUGUCACACGUACAUCAUGCUAACGUAUCAUGACCAAUUUUUAACAGUAAAAAUAAAUGAAAAUUUUUACU
rfam:Gossypium hirsutum cultivar TM-1 chromosome 20, whole genome shotgun sequence